rnacentral:rRNA from 1 species
UACGAAGGGGGCUAGCGUUGUUCGGAAUUACUGGGCGUAAAGCGCGUGUAGGCGGUCCGGUAAGUCCGCUGUGAAAGUCGGGGGCUUAACCCUCGGAUGCCGGUGGAUACUGUCGGGCUUGAGUACGGAAGAGGCGAGUGGAAUUCCUGGUGUAGCGGUGAAAUGCGCAGAUAUCAGGAGGAACACCAAUUGCGAAGGCAGCUCGCUGGGACGUUACUGACGCUGAGACGCGAAAGCGUGGGGAGCAAACAGG